rnacentral:rRNA from 1 species
UACGUAGGGGCCGAGCGUUGUCCGGAGUUAUUGGGCGUAAAGCGCGCGCAGGCGGCCUCGCGCGCCCGACGUGAAAGCCCCCGGCUUAACCGGGGAGGGUCGUUGGGGACGGCGGGGCUUGAGGGCGGGAGAGGUCGGUGGAAUUCCCGGUGUAGUGGUGAAAUGCGUAGAGAUCGGGAGGAACACCUGUGGCGAAGGCGGCUCACUGGCCCGGUACUGACGCUGAGGUGCGAAAGCGUGGGGAGCAAACAGG